GACGAACGCUGGCGGCGUGCCUAAUACAUGCAAGUUGAGCGCUGAAGGUUGGUACUUGUACCAACUGGAUGAGCAGCGAACGGGUGAGUAACGCGUGGGGAAUCUGCCUUUGAGCGGGGGACCACAUUUGGAAACGAAUGCUAAUACCGCAUAAAAACUUUAAACACAAGUUUUAAGUUUGAAAGAUGCAAUUGCAUCACUCAAAGAUGAUCCCGCGUUGUAUUAGCUAGUUGGUGAGGUAAAGGCUCACCAAGGCGACGAUACAUAGCCGACCUGAGAGGGUGAUCGGCCACAUUGGGACUGAGACACGGCCCAAACUCCUGCGGGAGGCAGCAGUAGGGAAUCUUCGGCAAUGGACGAAAGUCUGACCGAGCAACGCCGCGUGAGUGAAGAAGGUUUUCGAAUCGUAAAACUCUGUUGGUAGAGAAGAACGUUGGUGAGAGUGGAAAGCUCAUCAAGUGACGGUAACUACCCAGAAAGGGACGGCUAACUACGUG
rnacentral:rRNA from 1 species